AGAACGAACGCUGGCGGCAGGCUUAACACAUGCAAGUCGAACGCCCUCGCAAGGGGGAGUGGCAGACGGGUGAGUAACGCGUGGGAACAUACCCUUCGGUACGGAACAACUUGGGGAAACUCGAGCUAAUACCGUAUACGGCCUAUGGGCGAAAGAUUUAUCGCCGAAGGAUUGGCCCGCGUCCGAUUAGCUAGUUGGUGGGGUAAUGGCCUACCAAGGCGACGAUCGGUAGCUGGU
rnacentral:rRNA from 1 species